UCUAAUACCGGAUACCACUCCUGCCUGCAUGGGCGGGGGUUGAAAGCUCCGGCGGUGAAGGAUGAGCCCGCGGCCUAUCAGCUUGUUGGUGGGGUAAUGGCCUACCAAGGCGACGACGGG
rnacentral:rRNA from 1 species